AUGCAGUCGAGCGCGAAUAGGGGCAACCCUUAGUAGAGCGGCGCACGGGUGCGUAACACGUGGAUAAUCUGCCUGGAUGCCUGGGAUAACCAGUCGAAAGAUUGGCUAAUACCGGAUAAGCCCACGGUCUCUUCGGAGACUGAGGGAAAAGGUGGCCUCUGUAUACAAGCUAUCACAACCAGAUGAGUCCGCGGCCCAUCAGCUAGUUGGCGGGGUAAUGGCCCACCAAGGCGACGACGGGUAGCUGGUCUGAGAGGACGAUCAGCCACACUGGAACUGAGACACGGUCCAGACUCCUACGGGAGGCAGCAGUGGGGAAUUUUGCGCAAUGGGCGAAAGCCUGACGCAGCAACGCCGCGUGUGUGAUGAAGGUCUUUGGAUUGUAAAGCACUUUCGACCGGGACGAAACCGUAAAGCCUAAUACGCUUUGCCUUGACGGUACCGGGAGAAGAAGCACCGGCUAACUCUGUGCCAGCAGCCGCGGUAAUACAGAGGGUGCAAGCGUUGUUCGGAAUUAUUGGGCGUAAAGCGCGUGUAGGCGGCUUUGCAAGUCGGGUGUGAAAGCCCUCAGCUCAACUGAGGAAGUGCGCCCGAAACUGCAGAGCUUGAGUGCCGGAGAGGGUGGCGGAAUU
rnacentral:rRNA from 1 species